rnacentral:lncRNA from 1 species
UUUUUUUAGGUUUGGUUAGGACUAGCACAGAUGUUCGUGUGUUGCAAAGCAAGAAACAUGCUCUCACACACUUCUAGCGAGUCAUCUGUGUUGCCACUUCUCUUUAUCACCAUCGUUGAUGGUGGUCAAUUGUCUACCUAUUUACGACAAAUAUGAUCAAUCCGUAGACGGUGAGCUAAGUCAUUACACUCUAGUAUGUCAAUUUCAUGAUUCUCUCCCUGCAUGUUUCCAACAGCGAACUAUGUCGUGUUCUUCCGCCAUGGCCAUCAAAGCAUAGUUCAAAAACCAAAACAGGUGAGCAUCCUGAAUUUACGUAUACUUGAUGUCAACUCUGAUUCCCCAACAUUAUAUUUUUGGUCUUCUCGCACCAUGCUCUCACAUCCAAGAAUCAUUAUUAUUACAUGAUGAUAACUCCAUGACAAAGCAAUGUGAGAGUAAACUUGUUGUUCUAACCAUCAAGUAUAAAAAGUGAAAAUUAAUAUUCACAAAGUUCAUUUCCAUUGGCUGCAAAUCAAUCAAUUGUCAAGUUUACUUUUCGCACCUCCUUGACAAAAACUUGACUUCCACAUUGUCCUAAAUAAUUCCUAACUCCAUUUAAUAAGGGCCAAGCAUAAUUUAUAUGUACCACAGGAAAUUCGAAACAACAUUAUCAGGAAAUGGAGUACCCAACAUACAUGUAGGUUAUUUUAUUUUGCACCGGUACAUGCAGGUUAGUUAGUGUGUGUGAUGACCUCAUUUAUUUAAGGGUUUGUCUAGAACUAAGUCGACUAAGACUUAACGUAGUCUCAGUCGAGUGAUGUCAGCGCAGUUGUGGUGAUACGAUCGGCACGGCUGGAUGUUGCAAACGGCGAGGAAAAAUGUUGCAGCGGUACUGCAAGCAACGCCGACAUAUGCCGCAACCGUUCUGACUAAAAUGCUACAACCGUCAAUGGAGGAUGUUGCGACCGAUGAGAUGGCGUGCUACAAUCGUCAAGGGAUGACAUGCUACAACUAGCAAUACGGAUGUUGUAGCCGGUAGAAAUAAAUGUUGCAAACGAUGGGACAAAAUGUUGCAAGGUCAACUGAGGCUUGGUUAAAUCUGAGUCGAGUGAGUUUUAGCAUGCAAGUCCGUUUAUGUAAUGGGUCCUCUCUCCCAUCCCAGAGUUCUUCUAGGUUCCAUUCUAUUUCUUUCCUCUAGUUCCAUUCUUUCCUGCCAAAUGUAUGUCAUCUCUUAAUUUUUUUUCUACAUGCUCAAUUGCUCAAAUUUAUUCCUUCUUUGAAUUUUUUCCUUCCUUCCUCCUCAUAAGAGGAUUUAAUGAAUGUAAUUUAUUUAUUCAUUCUUCUAAUUUAUUUAUUUUUCUGUCAAAUUUAUUUCCUUCUUCCAAUUCUUUCCCUUCGUGCUCAAUAACUCAUAAUAGUGGGAUUUUAUUCCUUCCUUCCUCCACACAAGAGUGUAUUCCAUGUUUUAAUCCCUAUCCUUUAUGCUCAUAUUUGUGACCAAAUGAGACACACUCCUUGAGGUGAUUUAUUAAUUUCAAUUCAUAGACAUAUAUAAAUUGAUGUGAUCCAGUGUAAGAAAGCGAGGUGAGACAAUUCAAUAGCUGAACGAACGACCUGGUGUUUACUCGUUGUGUAGCCAUAGCGAUUCGUAUGUGGGAAUCCAUCCAAUAUGGCACACCGCACACGUAUAUGAAAAAUUGGAAACCUCAUCUUUUUUGCAUACACAAUAGCUAGCUCAGUUGGCUGCACAUUUAGGAAUAGGAUGGUAGGUCGCAAGUUCGUGUCUCCACUCGAACAAUUAUUUGUGCCUGGUUUUUCCGGGCUGUGUUGUUGGGUCGGCUUUGUUCGAGCAACGAGUGGGUUGUGCCCACCUGGUGGGCUCACUAUGGUAAUUAUUUUCUCCAAUAACUCUUAUUUAUUUCAUAAAAAUUCCUCGUGAAGUUUCAGCUCAUUUGGAGUUGUGCAGAAUAGUUUGCCUGACGUAGCCUUUUCAGGUCCAGAUUUCCAGCUGCCGGAAUUCUCCCUCUUUGUGUGAACCUUGCAUAUUAUGAUAGAAAAGGCAUUACAAUUACUCUAAAAAGCAUUAUUAUGCAUAAAAACAUUAUAAAUAACAGUAGGAAAACAUGAUGUAAAAUGGGCAUAUCACUCUUGUAGGGGUUUAUGAUAUUGUGCCUGGGAAUUUGUUGUGAUCCAAAACAAAACGGAGACAAAAGUUAAAAAUAUUGCAAUGUGGUUGUGAACACAAUAAGAAAAUGCAAGAAUAAAUUAAAAAGAGCACGAAACAUGAGAUGAUGGUUGUUUGAAUCAAUAGGGCUAAGGCGUACUCAGGGAGCCGGAUUCCCCACUAGUAUUUAUCUAAUGCGACCUAUGCCUAGGCAUAAUUCAAUGUUCGGAUUUCUAAGUCACUUUAUAUGUUUCUACAAGUGAGUGUAGCCAAAUACAGACACGUGCAUAUAUGCCACUGCCACAUGGGGCGUACAUCGCCAUCGUUUAUCCCCACUUCAGUUACAUAACAGUGACUAAGGAUGCAACUAUGAUGGUCUCCGUUUAUCCCAUAUUGCAAUGAUCAGGGAAAGAGGGAGAUACAUACUGUCACUUCAAACAUUCGCAAACCUGUGGCACCCCGGCUCAGAGAAACCGGAACGCCCCGUAUUCCAGCCCAGAGAUCGAGAUAAAGUCUUCUGAAAUACGACAUUUCUUAGCACAGAACAAACCAGCUUUCUAUUACAACUUGAAUACGAAUACAAGGUCUCCGAUAUUACAAUGAAUAACACCGGCACAACGACACUAUGCCAACUAUAGUUUCUCUAUGCAAGCAGCAUAACAACUCGAGGCAGCGGAACCUCUACUCGCAGCGGAAGAACGAACGGUGAUGAUGGACUCCAAUACGCAGGGAAUCUGGCUGGAAUCUUUAUCCUAGCUCGCGAACAUAGGAACCACACCAAACAAGCAAGCAAUCUAGGCACGACCUGCAAACUGGCAUGACACGCCAGGUCAGUACAUUGAAUGUACUUGCAAGCUCACAACAACCAAGAGCAAUCAAGACAAACAACAACAUGGCAAUUACAGGUUAACAUGAAACUAUAUCAAUCAAUCAUAGUAUGAACAAGAUGAACACGGUAAUGCUAGAACAAUAUGAGCAUGGCAUGAACAUAUGAACAUAAUGAUUCUAGCAUGCAACAUGAUGACACUAUCAUGCACCAACUUACUCUGCUCGGGUUACCUCGUAACCAUCACAUGCAUCACUUACCAACCUCGGACAUCUCGCGAUCAUCUCAGGAUCAAAUCAAGCUUGGUAUAAACAAUACUGUACUAAUCAUUUCAUGACCACAAGGAACUUGACCUUUACCCUCAAUUCUCGCAUAACACCACAAAUAUCCAACAACUCGGUAUCCUCGAUACCACGGUGAUCCUCUCACGAUGACAUAAAGAUCAACCAACUUCUCUCAUCAUCGAACCAGGGUUGUUAUUAAGCACAUCAUUAUUAUUACUGUUGACUCAUAGUGUGACCAACUCCAAACUGGGCCCUUAUCCGCGGGCGCGGCUAUUGAUUGAUUUAAACACACACUCUGCAGAGGUUAGCACACUGUACCCACACCACGGAACCCAUGGCCUCAUGCUCCCAUUCGGGUGGACCAACGGUAUUCUGACAAAACCGACUAUUGCCCAUGACACUCUCCCGGCCACUCUGACCAACUCCCCUUUGGGCUAAGUCAUGUGUGGCCCCGUGCCUGCCAAAGACAUCAACGGCCACCGUCGUGGCAAAACAUAAACGGUCCCAAACGGGGACAAGGUACCAUAACAACAACAACGGGCACACAAGGUUUAUGUCCGCCUACGUAAUCAGGGUAGCGUGCGCCCAUAGCCUUCCCUCGUUGGAGGCACCGGCGAGAGGCAUGACAAUAGACCCAGUUAGGUCCUUCCCAUAAAAGGUAAAUGUGGUUGCACUAGUCAACUCGAUAUGGUGGCACCAUGACUCAGCCAACAGUUGUUCAAGUUCAUUAUUAUCCAGUUAAACUUGAACGCAACAUGAUGCAACUACAAUGCAUGAACAUGGUAUCAACAUAAACAUGGAUGUGCAUCAUAACUAUCAACCAUAUCAACAACGAAUCAUAUAUCCGAAUGAGCAUGGCAUACUGACGAGCAUAAAUGACACAAGCAUAACUCUACCAUAAACAUUGCAUGACCAGUAGCAUCAUGAAUAAAUACCAUGCAAGAACAUAGCAAGAUCACUACCAAGUAAGCAUGUAACCAACUAGAUGCAAAGGAACAUGCAUAACCACGGUUCUGGAUAUCAUAC